GGCAGUUCUUGGAUGAUGCACCUUGGAAUCGGGCUCCCUCCUCCCUGGUUCUGGGUGUGUCACCUGAGAACCACA
rfam:Myotis davidii contig47804, whole genome shotgun sequence.